rnacentral:rRNA from 1 species
GAUGAACCCUAGCGGAACGCCUACCCCCCUCCAAGUCGAACGAGUUUUUAUUUUGUACGCAUCCAAAAUAAAAAUUAGUGGCAAACGAGCGAGUAACGCGUACUUAAUCUGCCCCAAAAGUUGAGAACAACUAUAGAGAUGUAGCUAAUUCUCAAUAUGCUCACGAUGGUGAAAUCCCAAUGUGAGGAAAGAUUUAUCGCUUUUGGAGGAGGGUGCGUCCUAUCAUGGUAGUUGGUAAGGUAAUGGCUUACCAAGCCUUUGACCGGUAGCCGGUCUGAGAUGAUGUCCGGCCGCGAUGGAACUGAGAUACGGUCCAUACUCCUACGGGAGGCAGCAGUGGGGAAUUUUGCCCAAUGGGCGAAAGCCUGAUGCAGCGAUUCCGCGUGGAGGAUGACCCAUUACGGUGUGUAAACUCC